rnacentral:snRNA from 10 species
AUACCAAUAGGGCAAUGACACAGCUAGUGAGGUUCUAACCGAGGCGCGUCUAUUGCUAGUUGAAAACUAUUUCCAAACUGACACCAAUUAUAUAGUUUCAUGCUUCAGCUAUUUAUAUUCUCUUUACCUACUUAAAC